UUCUGCGAAUUGUUUUGGCAAUUGUUUAUUCCUCUUAAAAAUAGUAGGUAUAGCACUGAAUAUCUCGAGGGAGUAUGAAAAUAUUUAUCUCAGAUAUUUAAUCUCAAAAUAACUAUUUCUUAAAAUAAAUAAUCAGACUAUGUGCGAUAAGGUAGAUAGUCGAAAGGGAAACAGCCCAGAACAGUAAUUAAAGCUCCCCAUUAAAUAUUAAGUGAA
rnacentral:rRNA from 1 species